rnacentral:rRNA from 1 species
GAACGGGUGAGUAACACGUGGGAAACCUACCUCUUAGCAGGGGAUAACAUUUGGAAACAGAUGCUAAUACCGUAUAACAAUGACAACCGCAUGGUUGUUAUUUAAAAGAUGGUUCUGCUAUCACUAAGAGAUGGUCCCGCGGUGCAUUAGCUAGUUGGUAAGGUAAUGGCUUACCAAGGCGAUGAUGCAUAGCCGAGUUGAGAGACUGAUCGGCCACAAUGGGACUGAGACACGGCCCAUACUCCUACGGGAGGCAGCAGUAGGGAAUCUUCCACAAUGGGCGAAAGCCUGAUGGAGCAACGCCGCGUGUGUGAUGAAGGGUUUCGGCUCGUAAAACACUGUUGUAAGAGAAGAAUGACAUUGAGAGUAACUGUUCAAUGUGUGACGGUAUCUUACCAGAAAGGAACGGCUAAAUACGUGCCAGCAGCCGCGGUAAUACGUAUGUUCCAAGCGUUAUCCGGAUUUAUUGGGCGUAAAGCGAGCGCAGACGGUUAUUUAAGUCUGAAGUGAAAGCCCUCAGCUCAACUGAGAAUUGCUUUGGAAACUGGAUGACUUGAGUGCAGUAGAGGAAAGUGGAACUCCAUGUGUAGCGGUGAAAUGCGUAUAUAUAUGGAAGAACACCAGUGGCCAAUGCGGCUUUCUGGA